rnacentral:rRNA from 1 species
GGGCUACCCGCUGAAUUUAAGCAUAUCAAUAAGCG